UUCCGCAAUGGACGAAAGUCUGACGGAGCAACGCCGCGUGAGUGAUGACGGCCUUCGGGUUGUAAAGCUCUGUUAAUCGGGACGAAAGGCCUUCUUGCGAAUAGUGAGAAGGAUUGACGGUACCGGAAUAGAAAGCCACGGCUAACUACGUGCCAGCAGCCGCGGUAAUACGUAGGUGGCAAGCGUUGUCCGGAAUUAUUGGGCGUAAAGCGCGCGCAGGCGGAUAGGUCAGUCUGUCUUAAAAGUUCGGGGCUUAACCCCGUGAUGGGAUGGAAACUGCCAAUCUAGAGUAUCGGAGAGGAAAGUGGAAUUCCUAGUGUAGCGGUGAAAUGCGUAGAUAUUAGGAAGAACACCAGUGGCGAAGGCGACUUUCUGGACGAAAACUGACGCUGAGGCGCGAAAGCCAGGGGAGCGAACGGGAUUAGAUACCCCGGUAGUCCUGGCCAUAAACGAUGGGUACUAGGUGUAGGAGGUAUCGACCCCUUCUGUGCCGGAGUUACGCAUAAGUCCCCGCCUGGGGAGUACGACCGCAAGGUUGAAACUCAAAGGAAUUGACGGGGGCCCGCACAAGCGGUGGA
rnacentral:rRNA from 1 species